rnacentral:misc_RNA from 1 species
GAUGAAGAACGUAGCGAAAUGCGAUAAGUAAUGCGAAUUGCAGAAUUUCCGUGAGUCAUCGAAUCUUUGAACGCACAUUGCGCCCACUGGUAUUCCGGUGGGCAUGCCUGUUCGAGCGUCAUUAUCCUCCCUCAAACCCCGGGUUUGGUGUUGGACCCAAGUUGUGUGAACAACUGGUCUCAAAGACAAUGGCGGCGUCCGUGGGACCCUCGGUGCAACGAGCUUUUAGGAGCACGCGCCGAGUUGCAAGGACCUUCCGGGCCGGUCUCCUUUACUAUUUUACAAGGUUGACCUCGGAUCAGGUAGGAAUACCCGCUGAACUUAAGCAUAUCAAUAAGCGGAGGA